rnacentral:rRNA from 1 species
CUACGGGUUGCUCCAGUGGGGAAUAUUGCACAAUGGAGGAAACUCUGAUGCAGCAACGCCGCGUGGAGGAUGACACUUUUCGGAGCGUAAACUCCUUUUAUAUAGGAAGAAGAUGACGGUACCAUAUGAAUAAGCGCCGGCUAACUCCGUGCCAGCAGCCGCGGUAAUACGGAGGGCGCAAGCGUUACUCGGAAUCACUGGGCGUAAAGAGCGUGUAGGCGGAUUAAAAAGUCAGAAGUGAAAUCCUAUAGCUUAACUAUAGAACUGCUUCUGAAACUCUUAAUCUAGAAUAUGGGAGAGGUAGAUGGAAUUUCUGGUGUAGGGGUAAAAUCCGUAGAGAUCAGAAGGAAUACCGAUUGCGAAGGCGAUCUACUAGAACAUUAUUGACGCUGAGACGCGAAAGCGUGGGGAGCAAACAGGAUUAGAUACCCGUGUAGUC